UGGGCGGCCUUCUAUGGCGUGAGUGAAUACAGGAGAACCGUUCUCCUCUUGGGUGAGUGCCCUAGGUUUUUGUUCUAGGAUUUUGGGAAGAGAGAAAAUCAAGAGUAGAAAGUCUUCUCUUGAUCAUUCAUCCACCAUUUCACAUCCUUUUCAACAUCCUUCACAUCUUUUGGAAGUAUCUGUGAGAUCUGAAGGAGCUCAAUCAGCC
rnacentral:lncRNA from 1 species